ensembl:lncRNA
CUCUUAAUUUUUUUUACCUGUACAUUAGCCAUAAAAGAAUUCCUCUCAUAAUGCCAAUAAGGUAAUGCUUAAGUCACUUUGCAGGACACCUGGUACAUAAAGAAUGUAUGCAAAAUGUUGCUGUAAUGAUGAGGAAUAUCAACACCUAUCUUAAAAGAUUUAGGGACUAAAUGAGAUAUAUAAAGCAUGUAGCACCAAGUAUUUGUUUUUAAAAAUGUUCUUCUCACUUUCUCCUUGGCUUUUCUGGGAAUUGGUGUAAUUCUCAUACUUCUUUGGGGAGUAAUUUCCACCAUCUGGUUCCUCUUCUCUCUUGCAGCAUUUUCUACGAGUGAUGCUCAGAUGGUGCAUCUGGCGUCUCUUGCUUUGUGCUUUUGAAAUGCAAGAUCCAGGAGGAUGAUAUGGGACUUGAACCAGCCAUGACUUCAUGAUGCUGACAGAUCACAAGAGGGAAAAAAAAGCUGCUUUCUACCAUUUGCACUGUUCUAAUCUUUGGUAUUGAAGAAAAUCUGCGAGGAGGACAAGGGAGAUAUAGUUACUCUCCAGCUCUUUGGGACAUCUGGCAAUGAGUCCAAACACAUGCAAAUAAAGAAUGAAGUUAUUUUCAUAAAAGGUGGAGCCAUGUACCCUUGUAAUUAUGCUCUCUGAUUUUAGAAGGAGGAGAAAGAUAAGAUUUAAGGAAUUAGGAAAAGGAAUGACCAGAAAACAAGGGCCGCAGUGUGGAAAACAUAAAGAAUUAUUUGAGUAAAUGACAACUCACAUUUUUUAAAAAGUAUGUAUCUCCUUGAAAAAUCCUCUGAACAUUUCUAAAUUUUGAAGCUUUCAUACAUACAUCUGAAAAAAGAGAAUAUUAGGCUUUUUAUUAGUGUGAAUUUACAA